rnacentral:rRNA from 1 species
CGGGGGUAAACGGACAGAGCCCGUGAAUCCGGGCGCGCGGAAUUCAGGACCGACGGGCGGACGGCGCGCGUUCGCGCGCGCGUCGUUCGUUUCGUCGAUUCGAUAUUUCCGCCGCCGACCCGCAACCGCGGGUGUCGGACGUCGCGACCCGUUCGCGUCGAAACGCGGGGGCGCGUUUUCGGUUCGUUUGCGCGGUCGCUUUACGGCGGCCGCGCGGCGACGGCGCGCUUCCUAUUCGUUCGGCGCGGACGGUAGCUUUGCGCGCGGGUAUUCGACGCGGCCCGUUCGCUCGGCGCCGUCGACGUCUUCGGGCGUUCGGCGGCGCCGGGCGGCGCUCGCGUCGACGCCGGUCAGCGACGAAUCUUCGGGCCUCUUUCCGACCCGUCUUGAAACACGGACCAAGGAGUCUAACGUGCGCGCGAGUCGCGGGGUAUCCGAGUCGUCGUAGUCGCCCUCUCCUUCGCGGGAGUGGGUCGGCGAACGCGGCUCGUCACGAUACGAAACCCGUGUACGUACGUUGUGCGAAGGCGUAAUGAAAGUGAAAGGCGGCGCGUUCGCGCGUCGCCGGGGAAGACGGUGUUCCGAGUACACGUUCCGCGGUCGCAAAGGUACCGCGGCCGGACACCCGCAUUCCCGGGGCGUCCCGCUCGUACGUCGGCGACGCCGGACGACGGCCUUCGCGGGCCGCCGUCGGUCGUCGGCGAACUGGGGCGCACCUAUAGCGUGCACGUUGGUACCCGAAAGAUGGUGAACUAUGCCC